UACGUAGGGUGCGAGCGUUAAUCGGAAUUACUGGGCGUAAAGUGUGCGCAGGCGGCCGCGCAAGUCGGGUGUGAAAUCCCCGAGCUUAACUUGGGAAUUGCGCUCGAAACUACGUGGCUCGAGUGUGGCAGAGGAAGGUGGAAUUCCACGUGUAGCGGUGAAAUGCGUAGAGAUGUGGAGGAACACCGAUGGCGAAGGCAGCCGUCUGGGCCAACACUGACGCUCAUGCACGAAAGCGUGGGGAGCAAACAGG
rnacentral:rRNA from 1 species